GGGGGAAAUGAGUCUCGCUUGCUCCUCCCCAGGACUCAGGAAUCUGGUAAAGAAGCUGAAUGAUGUGUUGUUACCACAUGUUACCACAGAAACCCAGCCCAGAGAGUUGGCCAUCUCAGCCAGUUUACCUCAAAUCCUGGCUGGACAUUCUGCUGGUGGGUCCCUGGGACACAGGCUGCUGGCUCCUCAGGGAGAUGGCUGGCCGAGGCAGAUGUGGUGCCUGUGUCCUGGACUGUGGCCCACCGCAGCAGAGUGGAGAGAACACGGGUGUCAGUGGAGACUGGCCUGAGCCACCCUCCUGAUGAGCCUCCGCAGGCCAGUUUCCUCCUCUAUGACAUGAUCAGAACAGCACUCAUCUCAUGGUAUGAGAAACCUUGCAUGUACUGGGACAGAACAUUAUUAAUGGAUCAAUACUGCCAACUGGCUCCGUUACUUUUCCUUCAUGAAACUUUUUGGACUUUGGGGAUUGAGAUUGGAAGAAAGGCAAUGAGAGAGAAGGACAACGGGCCCAAACUAGGCUCAAGGAGAGGAGUUCUGGGACAUUUGGAAGAAGAGCCUGGAAGCGGUGGUGAGGGAAGCUGAUGGUACAAAACCGGGAUUUUAAGAGUUGCUAUGGACUAGGAACGCCUCUUGUCAGGCCCAUGAACCACAAUAAAACACAGAAAUGUUCUGAAGUUAUUUUUUGGCUCUUAAAAUGUGUUUUCUGAACUUCCUAUGAUCCUGUUGAAAGACUAAGCUGCUUUAAGUCUCGGGGCUUAUGUAUAAUGGAUACAUAUGGAAAGCAGGUGUCAAAAAGUCAGGGACGGUGUCAAAAAGUCAAAGCUACAAUAAUAGUAAUUAUUGCAGCUUUUUUUUGGGCGGGGGAGGUCCUGUUUGACCCCAGUGGGGCAGUGUCAGGAAGAGUUCUCUGGGUGCUCCCAUGGAGGCUGGCUUGAGCUCUGAGGAGUCUUUCUCCAGGCUCACUUCAAGCUGUGUUAGGGUCCCCCUCCUCUCCCAUGCUCCUCAUUGGUCCCUGAGGCUGCUGGCAAUUUUCUGUUGUCUCCAAGGGUUUUGUUUUGGGGAAGACCAGAGAGAGAUCAGUUCUCUUGGUGUAUAUUGACCCAUGCAGAAAAAAUUUAUUGAGUGCCAGGCACUGACUGUUCCAGAUCUGGGGAUAGAAGACUGAACCAAAGAGUACAAUCCUAGUUGUCAGGGGCUUAAAUUUUAAAGGAGGAGACAAGCAAUAAAUGAAAUAAGUAAAACAGGCACCUGGGUGGCUUGGUCAGUUAAGCAUCUAACUUUGGCUCAGGCCAUUAUCUCAUGGUUCAUGAGUUCGAGCUGACAGCAUGGAGCCUGCUUGGGGAUUCUCUCUCUCUCUCUCUCUCUCUCUGCCCCUCCCCCCAUGUGUGUGCUCUCUCAAAAUAAAUAAAUAAACUUAAAAAAAUGAAAUAAGUAAAUCCUAAACCAGAUACUGAUAAAUUCUCUGGAGAAAAAAAUGUAGAAGGGAAGGAAGAUAGGAAAAUGUCAGUGGGGUGGGUGUUUGGUGGCUUAACCAAGAAAGGAUUCAUUGAGGUGACUUGAGGAUUCAGAGGAGGUGAGAGGGCAAGCCAUGCGGGUUUGUGGGAAAGCACACUCAAGGCAGAGCAAGUGCAAAGACCCUGUAAGCAGAGACUGGUGAGUUCAAGGAACAGUGAGGUGGCCAGGAAGCGUGAACAGGGAUGUGCAAUAAAGACAAAGAGCGAUAACGGGCAGAAGCAUGACCUUGUAAGGCCUUGGAAGCUCUUUGGCUGUUAUUCUGAAUGAAAAGAGAAACAACUGGAGAGUUUUGAGCAGAGAAAUGGCAUGCUCUUGACAGGACUAUUUGGCUGCUGUGUUGAGAAUAGGCAACAGAGGGCUCAAGAUAAAAGCAGAAAGAUCAAUUAAAUUAUUGCAGGAAUCUAGGCAAGAGGUAAAAAGGCUGCUUGCUCAGGGUAUAUGGGUGGAGAGGGAGUGAGAAGUGGUUUAAUUAUGGGUGUAUGUUGAACGCAAGGCCAACAGGAUUUCCUGACAGAACAGAUGUGAGAGACAAAGGGACUAGUUAAGGAGACACCAAAGUUUUUGUCUGAGAAACUGGAAAUUUCGAACAUGGUGUUUGGACCCAGAAUGUGUAAAACUUGGAUCUGUUGGAGAAAUAGGAAGCUGGUCUGCAGAGAAAGAAACAGAAAAGUGAAGCAAAGAUAUCUGGAGGAGAAACAAAAGACGGAGAUAGUCCUAAUGUUGUUUAAAAUCCCAGUUUCCAGUUCACUCCUGGAUGCCAGUUGCAUUCCUGUCCUUGGAUUUUGUGAGACACUCAACAGUCCUGUCAAUCGUCAUUAUUGCUUAACUUGCUAGAAUGUGUUUUUGAUACUCCCAACCAAAAGAGACUUCUAUCCCCUAAACUAGGAGAGGGGAGGAUUUGCAAAUUAUAAACCUGAAGCACAGACUCAGAGAAAGCAGGGAACAGGCUGUGAAGAAACCCUUUUCCAGGCUGAGAGGCUGGCAGUUCUUGUGUGGUGCCCCCAGUCACUCUUGAGGCUCCAACCACGUGCCUCCAAAAGCUGGAGCUUUAGGGAACUUGUGGGAAAAUGCCAGGAAAAAAAAUUUUUGAUGUUUAUUUAUUUUUGAGAGAGAAAAACAGAGUGUGGGUGGGGGAGGGGCAGGGAGAGAAGGAGACACAGAAUCCAAAGCAGGCUCCAGGCUCUGAGCUGUCAGCACAGAGCCCUAUGAGGGGCUCGAACUCAUGAACCACGAGAUCAUGACCUGAGCCGAAGUCAGACGCUUAAGCAACUGAGCCACUCAGGCACAAAAUGUCAGGAAAUUAAAGUGUGUCAGCUGUUCUUUGAGACACUCACAAAGUUGUUAUGAGAGAAAGAUGUGUUGUAAUCCCGGAACGGCACCUUAAAAGUAGAUAAGAAACAAUGGGACAUUUAAAAAACCCUGUCAGUCUGAAAGCAGAGAUUCAAAUAAUUGAGAAUCUUGCAGCCAUAUUCCCUGCUUUUUCUAGAACAAAAUUACUAGUUUAUAAAUUGUGGUUCACUGGAUUUUGGAAUAGGGGUAUUUAAGAGAAUUCAGAGAAAUUAGGGACACCCGAAUCCCAGGGCCAUAGUGCUUUCACGAGGCAGAUGUGAUAAUGUCUCCAACCUCUAAGUGCAUUUGCCUGUUGGUGUGUAGUGUGGGCACGCACUGCAGAGCACCCCCACCCCAUGGGACUGGGCCAUGCCACUGUAAGUCCCAGGCCAGGCAGUUCUCUUGGACAGACUUAGUAUUCAAGGACUGGGCCACACAAGAUUUCUGGCGCCAGUAAACACAUUAGCAAACGGAGUCAACAAAGAGGAAACUGACAGUGAGCCAGUGAACAUUUUAAAGGAGUCAUCACUCCCCAAAUCCCAAACUUGGCAACAGAGUUCGUACUUGCUCAAUACCUCAGGUAAUCCAUUGGCCCAAGUGUUAGUCACCCUAGAAACGCGUGGGGAGUGCUGACUGUGCCAGUGGCCACAGUUUCAGGCAGCCAGGAUGCAGCUGAGAACAAAAACAAGGUCCCUGCUGGUUCCAGCCCUGACAGGAAUAGACUUCCAGAGCACCCUCCCACCGGGGGCGCUCCUGGGCACCGUUCUCUCCAUAUAUAGGACUUGAAGGAUCCCAGGCAAGGGAAAUUCUUCCGGCAAGCCCAGCCUUGGGGCAGCCAUUUGCCUGACCAAGUUGCUCCCUACACUGCCAAAGAAUUUAGUAAACAAAUGGAUACUGACUAAAAUAUUUAGCUUUAAAAAAAAAAUUUUUUUUUUUUUAGGAUUUUUAAAAAAAGUUUUUAUUUAUUCAUUUUUAAGAGAGACAGAGAGAGCACAUGCAUGCAUGCAAGUGGGGGAGAGGCAGAGAAAGAAGGGGACAGAGGAUCCAAAGUAGGCUCUGCUGGGACAGCACAGAGCCUGAUGCUGGGUUCAAACCCAUGAAUCAUUAGAUCAUGACCUGAGCCAAAGGCACAUGCCUAACCUACUGAGCCACCCAGGCACCCUGUUUAAUUUCCUUUUUUUUAGUAAUCUCUACACCCAACGUGGGGCUCGAAUUCACAACUCCAAGAUCAAGCGUAGUAGACUCCUCUGACUGAGCCAGGUGUGCUCUAUGUGUUAGACUAUUGGCCAAUAGAUAAUAUUUCACCUGUUCUCUCUUCGAAAUGGAAUUUAGAAAAAUAGUAUUUGGGGAGUACUGGGGUAGUAAUACUAAUUAUUUAAGCACUGGGAUACAGAAUUAUGAGUAUCUACAUCUGGAACUCUUUGGGACCAAAGGAGAGAAGGACAGGAUAUAUACAUAUAAAAAAAGUAAUCUUUAUCUGGAUAACAGAGGCUCCCUGUCAUUGCCUCUGGCUGCAGUAUCAGGUCAUGACAUUGAAUUAUCUCACAUUGGGAAGAUAAGUGCAUUUAUAGUUUGACACGUGAUUAUUGAUCCAUAUUUAGAAGGGGGAAAUUUAGGGGCAACUGGCUGGCUCAGUCGAUAGAACAUGUGACUCUUGAUCUUGAGGUUGUAAGUUUGAGCCCCACACUGGGGGGCAGAGAUCACAUGAAAAAAUAAAAUAUUUUUUUUUUUAAUUUUUUUUUCAACUUUUUUUUUUUUAAUUUUAUUUUUGGGACAGAGAGAGACAGAGCAUGAACGGGGGAGGGGCAGAGAGAGAGGGAGACACAGAAUCCGAAACAGGCUCCAGGCUCUGAGCCAUCAGCCCAGAGCCCGACGCGGGGCUCGAACUCACGGACCGCGAGAUCGUGACCUGGCUGAAGUCGGACGCUUAACCGACUGCGCCACCCAGGCGCCCCAAAAUAUUUUUUUAAAAAAAGGAAAAAAUGUGAAUGAAUGGGAAAUGGUAUGCCUCUGCACGUCCCCAGGCAUCAAAGGGUGGGAUGCAGUGAUACAACUGUUGUAGUUCUUCAUUACUGCAUUUCCAGGAACCCCCAUUCUCUCUUACCGUUCACCUGGUGGGGACUACCAUGUUCCUAAAAUGUGAUGCUAUUCUCCUGGGUAGUGUUGAUUACCUGAGGAUGGGCCCCUGACUUAAUAGGUCAUUUAAUUUCCCUUAUAGGUAUUUUUUUUAAUUUUUUUAAAUGUUUAUUUUUGAGAGAGAGACAGACAGACAGAGACAGAGAGAGAGCAUGAGUGGGCAGGGGGGCAGAGAGAGAGAGAGGGAGACACAGAAUCUGAAGCAGGCUCCAGGCUCUGAGCUGUCAGCACAGAGCCUAACAUGGGGCUUGAACUCAUGAACUUUGAGAUCAUGACCUGAGCUGAAGUCGGAUGCUUAACGGACUGAGUCACCCAGGUGCCCCUUAAUUAAUUUUUACAGAGAGAGCACUCAGGUGUGCACAAAUGAGUGGGAGUGGGGCAGAGGGGGAAAGAGAGAAUCUUAAGCAGGCUCUAUGCCUGCAGGGCUUGACAAGAGGUAGGCUCGAUGCAGAGGUUGACGCGGGGCUUAGGGCUCGAUCCCACAACCUUGAGAUCAUGACCUGAGCUGAAAUCAAGAGCUGGGACCCUGGGGCACCUGUGUGGCUCAGUCGGUUAAGCAUCUGCCUUCAGCUCAGGUCAUGAUCUCAUAGUUUGUGAGUUGGAGCCCUGCAUCGGGCUCUGUGCUGACCUGGAGCCUGCUUCAGAUUCUGUCUCCCUCUCUCUCUGCCCCUCCCCAGCUCACUCUAUCUCUCUCAAAAAUAAAUAAACAUUAAAAAAAAAAAAAAGGGAGUUGGGAUGCUUAACCAACUGAGCCACCCAGGAGCCCUGACCUCUACAGUUAUCUUAAAGAAGAGAUUGUUUAGCUUCUUUACAGAUUUUGUCUGUAACAUAACACUUGGGACUGAUCUGCAGUCAUGUUUACUGUCAUGUGGUAUGUGGUUUGGGAAACAGAGAGAUCAUUUGUAGUAAGAGAGAUGGAUAAAGCAGAACAAGAGAGAGAGCAGAGAGUUCUGGUGGGGUUUGAAGCCCUGACUAUACAGUGACCCACUUCAUUCUUGACCUUAGGUACCAAAGGGAUAUUUCAUGAAUUGACUUAUUGUCUUCUUGCUGUUGUUUUGGGGUGUUAUGACUUAUUGUCUUAAGCAAAUUAAAAUUAGUUUUUGUAAUUGGGUAGCCAGAGGUUUUUUUUUUUUUUUCCUUUUCUCUUUUUUUUUUUUUUUUUUUGAGAGAGAGAGAGACCGGGCAUGAGUGAGCAAGGGAUAGAGAGAGAAGGAGAGAGAGAAUCCCAUGCAGGCUCUGCACUGUCAGGACUGAGCCUGAAGCAGGGCUCAAGCUCACCUGAAGUGGGACUCAAACUCAUGAACCAUGAGAUCAUGACCUGAGCUGAAGUCAGGUGCUUAACCGACUGAGCCACCCAGGCGCCCAAGUAGCCAAAGAGUUCUUAAUAAGCAAACUUUUUAAAGAACUCUCAAAUUCCAUUUUAUUGCAAUUGAGAUGCUUAGAUAGUGAAUACUGUAAGUGUUCAGAGAUGUGCAAGGCCAUUCCAGCCUGGCUUGGAAGAUCUAGAAGUGGUCUUAAAAAAUAAGGGAAGUAGGGCGCCUGGGUGGCUCAGUCGGUUGGGCAUCCGACUUCGGUUCAGGUCAUGAUCUCACAGUCCGUGGGUUCGAGCCCCACGUCGGGCUCUGUGCUGACAGCUCAGAGCCUGGAGCCUGUUUCGGAUUCUGUGUCUCCCUCUCUCUCUGACCCUCCCCUGUUCAUGCUCUGUCUCUCUCUGUCUCAAAAAUAAAUAAACGUUAAAAAAAAAAUUAAAAUUAAAAAAAAAAAAAUAAGGGAAGGGCGCCAGGGUGGCUCAGUCAGUUAAGCGUCUGACUCUGGUCUUGGCUCAGGACAUGAUCUCACAGUUCAUGGGACCGAGUACCACGCUGGGCUCUGCGCUGAUAGCAUGGAGCCUGCUUGGGAUUCUCUCUCUCCCUCUCUCUCUGCCCCUUCUCCACUUUCAUUCUCUGUCUCUAAAUAAAUAAACUUAAAAAAAAAAUACAUAGGGAGGUGCUUGCUUCACCAGCACAUGUACUAAAAAAAAUAAGGGAAAGUUUCUAAGAAGAGGAGGGGGAGGUGGCCUGGACACAGCACUGUGUGAGCACCUAAGGGAGCCAAGCAAAGGGCUGAGGGCACAGCUCACCGCCCUGGCUGGCUCACCAGAACGGUGGAAAAGGGCUACAAAAGUAGGUUAGGUCAGGCAUGGAGAACCUGGGGCUUGCCCAAUAUAGUUUGUGCCCCCUAAAUUAACUUUUCACCAAUUUGAUCCUGCAGGCAGUAAAAAAAUACUGAAUACUUUUAAGGGGGAAAGCACACUGUUGAAUGUGGUAUGAGGACAAUGCAGGAAGAACAGGUUGAGAAAAGGAAAUUUCGUGCGAGAAGCCAGAUAGGUGGCAUGAUGGCAAAACAAUGAGGUAGAGAGAAAAGGGGGGUGGUGGAGAGUGUAGAGGGCAAGGGUUAGUUGGGAGAGAACUUUUUUUUUUUUUUUUAAUGUUUAUUUACUUUUGAGACAGAGAUAGACAGAGCAUGAACAGGGGAGGGUCAGAGAGAGGGAGACACAGAAUCUGAAACAGGCUCCAGGCUCUGAGCUGUCAGCACAGAGCCCGACGCGGGGCUUGAACUCAAGGACCGCGAAAUCAUGACCUGAGCCGAAGUCGGCCACUUAACCGACUGAGCCACCCAGGUGCCUUGGGAGAGAACUUUUUAAAGAAAGGGUCUGGGCUUGGCGACUGUCCAGGGCUGAAGAACCAUGGAGCUGGUGGAGGCCUGAAACCUGAGGGGCUGAGGAGUGAAAGGCAAGGCAGGAGAGGAGGCUGCCCACAGGGAGGGUCUGGCACUGCGAGAGAAGUUGAGGCUCUGGGAACAGUUUCCUCCAGCUCUGUGGGAAGUCAGUGACAAGGUGCCCCUUGUAUGGCAGGCAGGACACCACUCAGCUGGCGCGCAGAGCCAGGCAUUUUUUGAUCCCUUAUGUGUGCAUUUCCAGAAGUAUCUCUGCUCGGCGUGUGUGUGUGCACUCAGAGGGGUCGUCUGCCCCUUCUCCACUCUCCUGCUGACUGUUUUGCGAGCAAGAAGCUGGCUAAGGGCCGUACUGGUCGAAGAGCCAGAAGCAGACAGGUCCUUGGAGGGCCUGGGAGGGAGUCUGCAUGGCAGGGCCCAGUCGGCUUACCUACCCUGUCUUGUCCAGGGGUUCUGCCCCUAACAUCAAAACUGUAACCCAUUUUGGGGUGCCUGGGUGGCUCAGUUGGGUGAGCUACUGGCUCUUGAUUUCGGCUCAGGUCAUGGUCUCGCGGUUCAUGGGAUUGAGCCCCGUGUUGGGCCCUGUGCUGAUAGUGGGGUGCCGGCUUGGGAUUCUUUCUCCCUCUGUCUCUACCCCUCCCCUGCUCGCUCUCUCUCUCUCUCUCUCUCUCUCCCUCUCAAAACAAAUAAACUUAAAUAAAUUAAAAAGAAACUGUGACCCAUCCUGUGUAUUUCUUUAGGAGAUAGCUAGUUAACAGAUGCUUAGGAGGUGAUCAGUUCCCUUUUGUUAAUAUGAACAAUUGUUCUAUUUCUUAAAGUAUUUAAAGUACUAGAAAAAAAUUAGAAAAUUUGGAAAGCACAGAAAACUGUAUAGUAAUUUUCUUUUUUUUUUUUUUUAAAGUAAGCUCUACGCCCAAUGUGGGGCUUGAACUCAAGACCCAUAGAUCAAGAAUUGCAUGCUCUAAGGACUGAGUCAACCAGGCACCCCUAAAGUAAUUAUUACAUGGUUUCCCAGGAUCAUAUUUUGAAUGAGACUGUCCAGAGACACAUCUAUUUAGAAGGAUGAUUCUAGGUGGUGAGUUGCAGGGACCAGAGCAGGCCACGGUUCUCUGAGCUCCUGAUUCCACCACUUUUCAUUCCUCCCACAUUAAAACAUUCUAUUAUCUUGACCUCUGUGACUCCUUGGCUCUCCCCAGUAGCUUCCCAGCCUCCCAUGACCAGUGUCUUUGGUCACUGGUACCCAUAAAGUCCUGCCAAGAUUCUUGACUCCUUCCACUCCACUCCACUCCACUCCACUCCACUCCACUCCACUCCACUCCACACAAUCAUCCUGAAAACCCAUCUUCUCCUGGGCUUCAGUCAUUGUCUACUUGCUCAUGAUGUACCUACAGCUGAGGAUUUCUGCCCUGAGCCCCUCACCAUUAUCUUAACCAGCUCCCAGCCAUCCCCAUCUUAGCAGUCUGGCCUCACACAGUAUAGUAAUACCUCUUUUUACUUGUAUCCACCCCUGUAGACCUGCUGUUUCUCUUCCUGGUUUCCUAGCUCUGGAAGCUGCACCACUAGCCAUUCAAUUAUCCAGGCCAAGUCUGUGAGCCAUCUUUGAUUCAUCCUUUCCCCCUUAUGUUUCCACAACUAAUCAGUCAUCAUGUUCUGGCAAUUCUUCCUCCUAAAGUCAGUGCUACUCAGGGCAUGUGGUUCAGUGCUCAUCUGUGACAACUACAGAAAUUGAAAAUAAAUGCUUAGGAAUUUUUAUGGCAUCUUGAGGAAUUUCAUGUUUUACAAUUUACUGAGAAAAAUGUGAGCUUAUAUUCUAUCAUUUAAAAAAUUUUUAUUUUUGGGGGUGCCGGGUGGCUCAGUCGUUUGUGUCUGGCUCUUGAUUUCAGCUCAGAUCACAAUUUCACAAUUUGUGAGUUCAAGCCCCACAUUGGGCUCUGCACCGGCAGCGUGGAGCCUGCUAGGGUUCUCUCUCUCCCUCUCUCUGCCCCUCCCCUGCUCAUGCCUUCUCUCUCAAAAUAAGUAAAUAAAACUUAAAAAAAUUUUUUAAAUAAAAUUUCUAUUUUUCUAUCAAUUGAUUUUUAUUGUAUUUUACAAAAUUAUUGCUCCAUAAUAAACUAGGAUAAACAGGUCUUUCAUCAUGGGUAGAAAAAAGCUGUCCUAAGUCUCUCGUGGGCCCACCAGCCACUGCUUAAUCACACGGGCGUCAUCCACUGUCUGGAGCACCUGGCAGUCUCCCCCCUCUGUCUCCCCCUUUGCUCCCCUCAAAUCUGAGCUCCACAACAUGGCCAAGUGAGCAGAAGUGCAAGUCUGGACCCAACUGCCAGCCUGCCAUUUAAGCACUUCCCUGCCUAAAGUGCAACGCUAACUUCCCUCCACUCUUAGGACAGUUUCCCAGCUCUUUGCCCAGACCUGGACCCUACUUUCCUACUUGACUGUACCCUCCCAAAUCACCAAGUCUACUCUCCCUGCCAGCCAUGGAGAACUCUCACUUCUGGGAACAUAUCACGGUCUCUUGCGUUUGAGCCUUGCACAUACUGUCCUGUUGAGUAGGACACUCUUGCCCCAUCUGUACCUGACGAAUUACAAUUUGUUUUUUGGAAAACAAAAAAGAAAAAAAAAAGUUUUUUGGGCUUCCUCCCAUGAGCCUCUUUUUUUUUUUUUUUUUUAAGUUUUAUUUAUUUUGAGAGAGAAGCCCAACCAGGCUCCACAUUCAAUGCAGAGUCUGACACGGGGCUUGUCUCACAGCCAAACAUGAGAUAAUGACCUGAGCCGAAAUUAAGAGUCAGACGCUUAACCCACUGAGCUACCCAGGCCCCCCCUCAUUACUGGGAGAUGAAAGUCUUAGGGUUGUGCCCCUGGAGCCUGGUGCAGAGGCAUUCAAUAAAGAUGUUGGAAUCAGUGAACCAUGAGGUAGCUACCACCUUUAACCUUGCAGUCAGUCUCAUCAUGAGACAGACAGUUCUGCUCUUCAGUUGUCUCUCCUCUCUACACCUUGUGAGGAGGCACUCAGGGAAGAGAGGCAUCCUCUCUCUACCUACUCUAAUUAGCAGGGCAAGCCAGAGUUCUUCAGAGACGAGCCCCUUACAUGAGCAGUGCCAAGGAAAUAACUUGCUUCCUGACUUAGACGUCAUCUGGGACUAUUGUCAGGGACUGGCCACUUCCUCUUGCCCACCUCCUUCCAACUCUGUGCAGCAAAUGGAGACCCUUUCCCACAGGCUGCUCUGACCUUUCUCAGAUGUUUAUUUGCUAGAAGUGGGUCUUUCCCUAGCAACUCUAAGCUUGAUACAGACAAGACAAACACUUACCUGCUUUUAGUAAGGAACCUUCUGUCUUUUCUGGAUGCCAAGAUAUAGGCCAG
rnacentral:lncRNA from 1 species